UUUUUUCCUCCCUUCCUCCCCUCUGCCUCCCUCCACCUCCCCCUUUUCUUUUUUGCUGAAUCUUAUUGAUCCAGAAGGUGGCUAAUUAGCCCUUCCCGUCGUGCCUGGCUCCCACUUCCAGCGCGUCCCCUCCGACCGCUGCAGCCGCCACCGCCGCCGCCUCCUCCUCCUCCUCCUCCCGGCCGCAGCCGCCGCCGCCGCCGCCGCCUGCUUUGCAUCCCAAUUACAGCCUAGAGCCGCUGCCGC
rnacentral:sRNA from 1 species